rnacentral:rRNA from 1 species
GUCCUUUUGAGUUUAAUUUAAGGUCUAACCUGCCCACUGAAUUUUUAAAUGGCCGCAGUAAUUUGACUGUGCAAAGGUAGCAUAAUAAUUAGUUUUUUAAUUUAAAGCUUGUAUGAAGGGUUGGACGAAAUAAAAUCUGUCUCUAGUUAAUUAAAUUUAGAAUUUAACUUUUAAGUUAAAAGGCUUAAAUAUUAUUAAAAGACGAGAAGACCCUAUAGAUCUUUAUAAUUUAUUUAGUAAUUUUAAUUAAGAAUUAUUAAUUUUUUAUUAAAAAAAUUAUUUUAUUGGGGUAAUAUAAAGAUUAAAGUAAUUCUUUUUUUAUAUUAACAUAUAUUUAUGAUAUUAAUGAUCCAAUUUUAUUGAUUAUAAGAUUAAGUUACCUUAGGGAUAACAGCGUAAUUUUUUUUGAGAGUUCUUAUCGAUAAAAAAGUUUGCGACCUCGAUGUUGGAUUAAAGAUUAUUUUAGGUGUAGAAGCUUAAAAAUUUUGGUCUGUUCGACCAUUAAAUCUUUACAUGAUCUGAGUUCAGACCGGCGUAAGCCAGGUCGGUUUCUAUCUUUAAUAAAUUAAAAUAUUUUAGUACGAAAGGACCAAUUAUUUAAUAUAUUUAUAUUUAGAUUUUGAAUAUUAUUAA